rnacentral:lncRNA from 1 species
GGGGCUUUGUUACACCUUUUUUUCUCCAACUCUAAAAUAAAUACUAGAGUAUCAUUUCCUUCUUUGCAAAAUAUUGUCACAUAUAUUUCUUUCGUGAUACUCUAAAAUAAAUCUGUGUCACUACUCUCUCCUCCUUUUUGCUAUCCUCUCAUGAUACUUUAGGUUUCUUUCAUAUUUAUUUGAUCCAAGCUGGCGAUUUGUAAAGGCCAUUAGAGGCGCCCUAAGAAGAGCAUAUCAUAGGAGGCCAAAGUUAUGCCAACGCCUUCGGUCGGUGCUCUUGAUUAUCCGUUGCCUAUGUAUUGUUUUAGGGGUCCAAAAUCCUCAGCUGCGACCAAUGUUAUCCUAAACGUUAAAUGGUAAACCGUAAGUUGCCCUUUGUUUUUUUUUAUUUUUACACUGUUUAACAAUAUUUAAAUGGAGUUAAACUAUUUAAUUGGCUUUAUAUAAUACCACUAAAAUAUAAAUACGUAUGCAUGUAAAAUUUAUAUAUGCACAUCUAUGUAUAUGUAAGAAAAUAUGAAUUCUAGCAAACACAAUUGUUUUGGAAAUG